AGCCGGGUCGUCUAGCGGCCCAGGAUGCGGGGCCUUGGAACCCCCGUGACCGGGGUUCGAAUCCCCGCCCGGCUACCA
rnacentral:tRNA from 1 species